rnacentral:rRNA from 1 species
CCUACGGGAGGCUGCAGUGGGGAAUAUUGGGCAAUGGGCGAAAGCCUGACCCAGCAACGCCGCGUGAAGGAAGAAGGCUUUCGGGUUGUAAACUUCUUUUGACAGGGAAGAGCAGAAGACGGUACCUGUCGAAUAAGCCACGGCUAACUACGUGCCAGCAGCCGCGGUAAUACGUAGGGGGCAAGCGUUGUCCGGAUUUACUGGGGGUAAAGGGCGUGUAGCCGGGCUGACAAGUCAGAUGUGAAAUCCGGGGGCUCAACCCCCGAACUGCAUUUGAAACUGUUGGUCUUGAGUAUCGGAGAGGCAGGCGGAAUUCCUAGUGUAGCGGUGAAAUGCGUAGAUAUUAGGAGGAACACCAGUGGCGAAGGCGGCCUGCUGGACGACAACUGACGGUGAGGCGCGAAAGCGUGGGGAGCAAACAGGAUUAGAUACCCGUGUAGUC